rnacentral:rRNA from 1 species
AUUGAACGCUGGCGGCAUGCCUUACACAUGCAAGUCGAACGGCAGCACGGGUGCUUGCCCCUGGUGGCGAGUGGCGAACGGGUGAGUAAUACAUCGGAACAUGUCCUGUAGUGGGGGAUAGCCCGGCGAAAGCCGGAUUAAUACCGCAUACGAUCUACGGGUGAAAGCGGGGGCCCUUCGGGCCUCGCGCUAUGGGGUUGGCCGAUGGCUGAUUAGCUAGUUGGUGGGGUAAAGGCCUACCAAGGCGACGAUCAGUAGCUGGUCUGAGAGGACGACCAGCCACACUGGGACUGAGACACGGCCCAGACUCCUACGGGAGGCAGCAGUGGGGAAUUUUGGACAAUGGGCGAAAGCCUGAUCCAGCAAUGCCGCGUGUGUGAAGAAGGCCUUCGGGUUGUAAAGCACUUUUGUCCGGAAAGAAAUGCUUUGCGCUAAUACGGUCGGGGGAUGACGGUACCGGAAGAAUAAGCACCGGCUAACUACGUG